CAUAAAUGAUUUGUAGAUAUUUCCUCCUGUUCCAUGGAUUGCAUUUCACUCUGUUGAUUGUGCCUUUGAUGCACAAACAUUUUUAAGCUUGAUGUAGUCCCAUUUGUCUAUUUUUGCUUUUUGUGGCCUGUGCUUUUAGUGUUGUGUCCAAAAAGUCAUUGCUAAGUUUUCCCCCUGUGUUUUCUUCUAGGAGUUCUAGAGUUUUAGGUCUUAUAUUUAAGUCUUUAUUCCUUUUUGAGUUGUUUUUUUUAUAUUGUAUAAGAUAAGGGUCCAACUUCAUUCUUAUGCUUGUAGAUAUCCAGCACCAACUCUAACACCAUUUGUGAAGAGACUGUUCCUUUCCCAUUAAGUGGUAUUGGCGACCUUGUCAAAGAUCAUCAAAUAUUAUUAUUUUUUAUAGAUAGAAAAAUGGUGAAGUUACAUUCUUUUUAAGCUAGACUUGGGGGCAUAGCAUGAGUUUUGAAUGAGAUAGAGAGAAGUAAAGUAAAAAUACAAAAUGUGAAUAAAAUCUUGAGAAUAUUGGAUGGGGACCUAGUAACACCUUUCUUAAGAUGUCAUCAGUGCCUGGGGGUAGCUGUUGAUGACAAGCUCCUUCACCACUCGAGGGAUUACUGAGGGCCUACCGUGGCUGCACUAACCAGGCCCGGGGAAUCCAGGUGUGUGUUAGAGACAAGUCCCUGCUGUGUGUAUUUCUGCGAGGGAUCUCAUUACCUUUUAGCAGCAUCAACAAAACGAUGUAUGCCUGCCCUCGCUCUGCUAGGAGUUUGGAGAGGCAUAAGCAACUGUGAGAUGUUUUCCAUGCCCUCCCUCAAGGGCCCAUGUGAACUUUACUCUUACCAGGACCCCCAGGGACCCUCUGUGUCCACUGCUCUUUGCUGUGGGCUAAUACCUGGUGUGAUGGACACGUCAUCUCAUGAAAGGAAGGAGAACUUAAAGACUGGGGUUAUGUCCAGGUGUCUGCAGGAGUCUGUGGUCCAUCUGGAGCUGCUCUCUGGGGAGCUGUUUCUUAGUACCUACCCAGGGGCAUUCCACUUUGGUGGAAACCAAAGGUUUUGUCAUUUCAGUAACCUAAGUGCUCCACUCCAGAAAUACAGAAAAUAGCGUCAAAAGAGAUACUGGUUUUGCAAGCCACUGAGACAUUCAAUAGCACCUUCUUUCGGGUGGAACAAUGGCAAUUGUGUAGGAGUUAAGGUAAUGCUUUGUUCUGCAGAUUCUUGGUUAGGUGUUUUAUUUCUUCCCAAUGGAGGGGGUAUGCACGUGUGACUGGAGUAUCUUUUGCAUCGACUCCUCUCAGCACAACCUCUCCCAGCUCUGUUUGAAGGGUUUUUAAAUAUCCUUGAAGAGGCAUAUCAAAUUUAUAUAAGGAACCCGGUUUGUAAUAUUCCUUGUCAUAAACAAAUUAUAUAUGCUUAAAUGAAUUGUCCCUUGACCUGCAUAUAGUUCUCACUCCAUAACGUGGGGCUAAUCACUUUUUGGAAUAAAGUUUUAUUACAUUAAUUAAUUAAUUAAUUAAUUAAUUAUUACUUUUGUAAUAUUUUGGAUUUACAGAAAAGUUGUAGGGUUCCUAGAUACCCCUUACCCAUGUUUAAUUUCCCCUGAUGUUAACAUCUUAUAUUAUCAUGGUACUUUUGUCAAAACUAAGAAACCAAAGCAAAACAAACAAAAACAAAACAAAAAACCAAAACCCAAACUCAGGAAACCAACAUUGGUACAUUACCAUUAACUAAGCUCUAGACUUUAUUUGGAUUUCACCAGUUUUUCUCCACCAAUGUCCUUUGUCUUUUCUACAGUUCAAUUUAGGAUACCACUGUGCAUUCAGUUGUCAUGUCUCUAGUCUCCUCUGGUCUGUGACAAUUUCUCAGUCUGUCUUUGUUUUUCAUGACCUUGACAAUUUUGAGGAGAAUUGGGCAUGUGUUUUGUAGAAUGUUGGGUUCAGUAAUUUUUAGUGCAUUAUUUUGUGGUCUUCCUAGAACCUAGAGUUAAGACACUUCUUCAGUUGUUGUCAAAGGUAGUUUUCUGGGUUGGAUAGACUUGAACGAACCCUUGCAGUUCAUAAACUAAUUAAUUAUUGUAGUUAAGAAUCCAGUGUCCAGGAGGGGACAACUCCAAUUUUGAAUUGCCCUUCGAGUUUAGCCUUGGUCAGGUUUAUAUGCCUUUGGUUUUGUAACAUGGUUACUGUGUUAGUCAGGGUCUUGGAAGGAAAUCUAAGGCAUAUUUACCUGGGGUUUUGAGGAGGACUUAAUGAAGGGAUCAUAUACCCAGGUGGGACAGUAUUUUAGCUUGAGCAGCUAGAAAAAAAAUACUAUAGCGUGGUGGCUUAAACAAUAGACAUUUAUUUCUCACUGUUCUGGGGGCUGGAAAAUCCAAGAUCAAGGUGUCAGCCAACUGGUUCUUGAUGAGUUGAUGAACUGCCUUCUUUCUUUGUCCCCAUAUGGAGAGAGAUAACUCUAGUGUCUCUUCUUCAACGGGCACUCAUCCCACCAAGGGGACCCCACCCUUGUGACCUCAUCUACACCUAUAAUCCUCUCAAGUGCCCACCUCCGAACUCCAUCACAUGUUGUUGUCUCUCAUUGGCCAAACCCAACCAGAAACUAAGGACAAGGGACCCUGGAUACUGCAGUCCUUGGGAGACAGCCCUGCAGACCGCAGAGAAGGGUAGAAAAUGGAGAAGGGGCUGCCAGAGCAAACGAUCACAAACGCGAUGGCUUAAAACCACAGAAGUUAUUCUCUCAGAGUUCUGGAAGCUGGAUGUCGGAAAUCAAGGGCCAUCUUUCCUCUGAAGACUCCAGGGAAAAAUCCUUCCUUGCCUCUUCCUAGCUGUUGGUGGUUUCUGGUGAUCCUUGGUGUCUUUCCCUUGGCUCGCCAUUGGCUCACUAGGAUCUCUUUCUCUGUUUUCACACUUCUCUCCGUUUCUCUGUGUGUCUUGUCUUCUUAUUAGGACACCAGUCAUUGGAGUUAGGGCCCUCCCUAAACCAGUAUGACUUUAUAAUUUAUUAAUGUCUGCAGAGACCCUGUUUCCCAACAAGGUCACAUUCUAAAGUUGUGAGUGGAUGUGAAUUUGGGGGCAUACACUCUUCAACCCACUACACAAUUAAACUCAUUUUUUUUAGUUGAGGAGAAAGAGUCAGAAAGGUGAAGUUACCCAGGUCACUGUUAGAAAGUUGUAGAGCUGAGGGUACAUGCGUAUUCUUAACCAUUAACUAAUCAAAAUGUCUUCCUUCUUCCCAUCUGCCUGCCCCUCUCUGCCCCUACCUUUGUGCUUUCGUUAUUUGCUCAUUCAAGGACACUUUGGAGUUAGUUUAUCUUAAUUUCAGUGGAUGAAAAUGACUGGGAUGGUUGGCUGUUGAGCGUGGGGGAUGGGAAGAUAUUACUGUGAUAUUUGCUUAUUGAUGAUUUUCUAUGUCCUUCGCACCUUAUAUAUUUAUUAAUUGUAAUUUCUCUGUUAGGAAGAGUUGUUCCUUCUCCCUCAUUAACAUACUUAUAUUAGGAUGGGCUUAUGCAUAUUUAUUUUAUUCUAUGGGUUACAGUUUCAUACUAUCAUUAUUUAUUUUGUUGCUCAAAUUGUCCCUGCUUUGCCCAUUAGGAGCUUAAUUACGUUGGGUCCUGUAUCCUUUCAACGUGCUCCGUCAUUCAUGAGUACCUUUUACUUUUUGGCACUUCCCUUUUCCCCCUUAGCUCAUUUUCUAUUUUCCUUGCCCCAGCCUUGUGAUCAAACUUUCCUUCGGAAAAGUGUUCGUUCCUUUUAUCAGAGUAUCAGUUUUGAAACCAAGAUCUUGGUGGUGGGUGUGCUCGUUGCUUCUUGGUCCUUUUAGUGGACAGAGCUGGGACUUAUUUGUAUAUGUACUAACACACACACAUCUACAUUUAAACAUGUAUCUGUCCCAACGUUAAAGCCGUGGUGAAUAUGAUCCUUCUCAAGUAAAUGCACGAGUGUCUGUAAGGCAGGCUUGUAUCUGCCUCCCAGUGAUAAAGAGAACAACAGGCCCAUUACAGCAUUGCAGAGUCCAUAGUACUAUUUACUUCCAGUUUGAUGUUAUAAUUCAGAUAGCUGAGGCUGUCAGGGAAGAGGCCUAACCUUAUGUAAUUCUGAAACCAGAAAGAAUCACAGAGGUGUUCAAUGCAUGUUUCCUAAACUAUUCCAUGGCAUAGUGUUUGGGGAGGUGUUAAAAGGCUUAUGAUAAAAGGGCUUUGUAGUCCAGUAAAUUUGGGAGACUUGUCAUGGUAGAUUCCCCCCACACUUGUGUAACGCUGCCCAGGGAUUCUUACAGGAGUGGUUUUUUUUUUAAAUGCAUUUUCCAGAAAAAAAUAUAUUUUCAGAACAAAACAUUUGUCAGACAACUUUAUGAAAGGGGAAGAGAUAAGAAGAAGAAAAGGUUAGCGUGUGAAAUAUGUAUGGCUUAGAGCACCUG